GACGAACGCUGGCGGCGUGCCUAAUACAUGCAAGUCGAGCGGACGGAUGGGAGCUUGCUCCCAGACCGUCAGAGGCGGACGGGUGAGUAACACGUGGGCAACCUGCCUGUAAGACUGGGAUAACUCCGGGAAACCGGGGCUAAUACCGGAUAACUCUUUCCCUCACAUGAGGGAAAGCUGAAAGAUGGCAUCUCGCUAUCACUUACAGAUGGGCCCGCGGCGCAUUAGCUAGUUGGUGAGGUAACGGCUCACCAAGGCGACGAUGCGUAGCCGACCUGAGAGGGUGAUCGGCCACACUGGGACUGAGACACGGCCCAGACUACUGCGGGAGGCAGCAGUAGCGAAUCUUAGGCAAUGGAGGAGAGUCUGACGGAGCAACGCCGCGGGAGUGAUGACGGUUUUGGGAGCGGAAAACCCGGUUGUGAGGGAAGAACAAGUACCGGAGUAACUGACGGGACAUUGACGGUACCUGACCAGAAAGCCACGGCUAACUACGUG
rnacentral:rRNA from 1 species